ACAGUACUCAAACCUUUCUGCUAACCGAAUGCCUACCUACCAUUAUGUUUACCUUCUACCCAUACAAGUUGUUAACAGAGAGCAAUGAGCGCAGGACC
ensembl:ncRNA Y69E1A.11 ncRNA